GAACUUGAUAGAGGCGCGGUUUUCAUCAGUAGCACAGAACGACAGUACGGGAGACUGUUCUGUGUGAAAGGGGAGACUGCCGAAGAAUGUGUACAUCCCGUGUGCAUAUUCUGGGACGUGCGCAUAAGAUGCCGCGGACUGUCACAAAAGUGGAGCGCUAUCAGUGUA
rfam:Clostridium hylemonae DSM 15053 genomic scaffold Scfld_02_1, whole genome shotgun sequence.